ACGGAAGGCAGCAGUGAGGAAUAUUAGUCAAUGGGCGGAAGCCUGAACCAGCCAAGUCGCGUGAAGGAUGAAGGUAUUAUGUAUUGUAAACUUCUUUAGCAGCGGAGUAAUAAGGUCCUCGUGAGGGCUGAUGCAAGUAUGCUGAAAAUAAGGAUCGGCUAACUCCGUGCCAGCAGCCGCGGUAAUACGGAGGAUCCGAGCGUUAUCCGGAUUUAUUGGGUUUAAAGGGUGCGCAGGCGGCUUUUUAAGUCAGCGGUAAAAUCGUGGGGCUCAACCCCAUCCUGCCGUUGAUACUGGAGAGCUUGAUUGCGGUUGAGGUUGGCGGAAUUCGUCGUGUAGCGGUGAAGUGCAUAGAUAUGACGAAGAACACCGAUUGCGUAGGCAGCUGACCAAGCCGUAAAUGACGCUCAUGCACGAAAGUGCGGGGAUCGAACAGGAUUAGAUACCCUGGUA
rnacentral:rRNA from 1 species